rnacentral:rRNA from 1 species
GGGCCCGCACAAGCGGUGGAGCAUGUGGUUUAAUUCGAUGAUACGCGAGGAACCUUACCAGGGCUUAAAUGUAGUCUGACAGGGGUGGAAACACCCCCUCCUUCGGGCAGAUUACAAGGUGCUGCAUGGUUGUCGUCAGCUCGUGCCGUGAGGUGUCAGGUUAAGUCCUAUAACGAGCGCAACCCCUGCCGUUAGUUGCCAGCAUGUAAUGAUGGGAACUCUAACGGGACUGCCGGUGCAAACCGCGAGGAAGGUGGGGAUGACGUCAAAUCAUCACGGCCCUUACGUCCUGGGCUACACACGUGCUACAAUGGCCGGUACAGAGGGCAGCCACACCGCAAGGUGGAGCGAAUCCGAGAAAGCCGGUCGUAGUCCGGAUUGUAGGCUGCAACUCGCCUACAUG